rnacentral:rRNA from 1 species
AUUGAACGCUGGCGGCAGGCCUAACACAUGCAAGUCGAACGAGUGGCGGACGGGUGAGUAAUGUCUGGGACACUGCCUGAUGGAGGGGGAUAACUACUGGAAACGGUAGCUAAUACCGCAUACCCUCGGAUGUGCCCAGAUGGGAUUAGCUAGUAGGUGGGGUAACGGCUCACCUAGGCGACGAUCCCUAGCUGGUCUGCGAGGAUGACAAGCAACCCGGGAACGGGGAAACGGUCAAGACUCCUACGGGAGGGAGCAGUGGGGAAUAUUGCACAAUGGGCGCAAGCCUGAUGCAGCAAUGCCGCGUGUGGGAAGAAGGCCUUCGGGUUGUAAAGCACUUUCAGCGGGGAGGCGUUACCCGCAGAAGAAGCACCGGCUAACUCCGUGCCAGCAGCCGCGGUAAUAC